rnacentral:rRNA from 1 species
GAUGAACGCUGGCGGCGUGCCUAAUACAUGCAAGUCGAGCGAAGCGGGGACGGGUGAGUAACACGUGGAUAACCUCCUAUAAGACUGGGAUAACUUCGGGACACCGGAGCUACACCGGCUACUUAUAGAUGGAUCCGCGCUUCAUUCGCUAGUUGGUAAGGUAACGGCUUACCAAGGCAACGAUGCCUAGCCGACCUGAGAGGGUGAUCGGCCACACUGGAACUGAGACACGGUCCAGACUCCUACGGGAGGCAGAAGUAGGGAAUCUUCCGCAAUGGGCGAAAGCCGGACGGAGCAACGCCGCGUGAGUGAUGAAGGUCUUAGGAUCGUAAAACGCUGUUAUUAGGGAAGCGGUAACUAAUCAGAAAGCAACGGCUAACUACGUGCCAGCAGCCGCGGUAAUUC